rnacentral:rRNA from 1 species
UACGUAGGGUGCGAGCGUUAAUCGGAAUUACUGGGCGUAAAGCGCGCGCAGGCGGUUUGGUAAGUCAGAUGUGAAAUCCCCGGGCUUAACCUGGGAAUUGCAUUUGUGACUGCCCGGCUAGAGUGUGUCAGAGGGGGGUAGAAUUCCACGUGUAGCAGUGAAAUGCGUAGAUAUGUGGAGGAAUACCGAUGGCGAAGGCAGCCCCCUGGGAUAACACUGACGCUCAUGCACGAAAGCGUGGGGAGCAAACAGG